UCGGUCACCAUGGGGAUGGGCUGGGGCCUUUUCCUGUUGGUCCAGACCCCUCAAUCUGCCCAGAGGAGCCGCGACAGAAGAGUGGUGAUUGGUGCAUGCGACAUGGGAUGAGGUUCAGCACUGAUCAAUAUAUUGAGUGAAUUGACUGUUACUAAGUAUGGCCUUUAAGGAAUAUCUACUGCAUCCCCCUUGGCCAGAUCUUAACGUUAAAAGUUUAGAUGUUCUGUUUGGAGCUGGCCUGUUUGAAUCAAGAUCCAGACAAGGUCCACACACUGCAUGAAGUUGAAGCCUCUUGGAAAAAAUCUUCAGGUCCCUGCGCCUUUGAACACAGGCACAUCCAGCAAAAGCAGAUGAGAACCUGGCUCUGUUUCAAAGACGCUUCUCCUGGUUUAGAGAGCGGGUCGCGAAAAUUCAGCUGCGGCGCCAUCUGCUGGAAGCGCCGCGACGCUGCAAGGAGCUUGCGGGGAAGGAGGAGACGAGUUGCAGGUGAACGUUCGACCCUUUGCCCAGAGAAAGCCCUGACACCAAGGGGUAGAAAUAAGUGAUGCUUGAAAAAUUCACUAGAAGGGCUGAAAAGCAGAUUCAAGAUAGCAGAGAAAAAGAAGCAGCGAAUUUGAAGAGAGAGCAACAGAAAUUAUCUACUGAAGAACAGGAAGAAUGAGAAUGGAACAAAAGUGAAUGGAGCCUCAGAGACCUGUGGGACAACAGACCGACAUACAUGUAAUGGAAGAGGAAAGGAAAGGUUAGAAAAAAUAUUUGAAAAAAUAAUGUCUGAAAACUCGGCAAAUUUGAUUGAAAACAUUAAUCUACACAUGCAUGUAGCUCAACAAACCCAACUAGGAUAACUAUAGAGAUCCACACCUAAACACAGCAUGCAAACUGUUAAACAACAAAAAGUCUUUAAGGCAUCAAAACCACCAUCGUGUACAAUGGAACAUCAGUGUAAUUACUAAUUUCUCAUCUGAAACAGUGAAGGCUAGAAGGCAGUAGAAUGGAAUUUUCAAAGUGUGAAAGACAAAACUGUCUACCAAGAAUUCUUUUUCAACCAAGAAUUUUAUAUUCCACAAAGCUGCCUUCAAAAAUGAAAGAGAAACUAAGACAUACUCAGAUUAAACAAUUUUGAGGAAACUGCCCUCAAGAAAUGCUAAAAGCAUUUCUUCAGGCUGACAGGAAACGAUAUCAGAUGGUGUUAAUAACAAAUCCAAAGGAAGAAAUGAAUCAGUAAAAAUUUUUUAAAAAAAGAAGAGCACUGGA